ACAAGCGGUGGAGGAUGUGGUUAAUUCGACGCAACGCGAAGAACCUUACCUAGGCUUGACAUGCUGGUGAAAACCAUGGAAACAUGGUCCUCCCGUAAGGGACAUCAGUACAGGUGCUGCAUGGCUGUCGUCAGCUCGUGUCGUGAGAUGUUGGGUUAAGUCCCGCAACGAGCGCAACCCUUGCCAUUAGUUGCUACGAAAGGGCACUCUAAUGGGACUGCCGGUGACAAACCGGAGGAAGGUGGGGAUGACGUCAAGUCCUCAUGGCCCUUAUAGGUGGGGCUACACACGUCAUACAAUGGCCGGUACAGAGGGUAGCCAACCCGCGAGGGGGAGCCAAUCCCACAAAGCCGGUCGUAGUCCGGAUCGCAGUCUGCAACUCGACUGCGUGAAGUCGGAAUCGCUAGUAAUCGCGGAUCAGCAUGUCGCGGUGAAUACGUUCCCGGGUCUU
rnacentral:rRNA from 1 species